GCAGUGGUGGUUCAGUGGUGGAAUUCUCACCUUCCAUGAGGGAAACCUGGGUUCGAUUCCCAGCUGAUGCU
rnacentral:tRNA from 1 species